GAUCGGCCGACCCCUACACACAUGAAGAACUUGAAAAACUGAGAAGAACAUAUCAUAAGAAGAAGAAAAAAUACGUGCAAAACGAUCAGGAAUCUACACCCUACAUCGUAGUUCCACGUACUGCCUACAAAUAAGUGAAAACCCUAAACUCUAAUUUCUCAUUCUCCGCCGCUCUGCCCUCUACCUAUCUCUUUCUCCUUCAACUUCUUCCCCCAUUUCACAGCAAAAGAGCAUAACUGCACAAACACUUCGUGUUGCUUCUUCCCUCAUGAAUCUCCUCCUUUAAGAUUUGGAAACGAAAAGAUGAACGAAGAUGUGGAAUAUUAGUUAUUUUUGAUUGAAUUUAAUGGACCUCAAUUCAGCAAAAUCUGAAACGAAGGGUCAAAAAGAGAAUACUGAGCGGAUGCUGCAGCAAUGAUCGUAUUUACUCCAGGUAAAGAAAAAAAUUUACUCCAGUGAGGAGAAGAUAAAAAUGGUGGUGUAUUCCAGUAGUGGUGUAUUUUAUGGAAGAUUGUAGCUCGUUUCCAGCUUUAUUGAAUCAGGUUCAAGCUCCUCCACCAAACCCAAGUUUGCUUAUAUAUGAUGUAUCAGAUCUGUGAAAUUCGCACUACUGAUCGGCGUUGGUCGGAUGCAGAAUAAAAUUGGUAUGCUGAAUUUUAUGCACAUAAUCAUAAAAUGCGAUUAUUCAAAUGUUGAAAUGUACUUUUAUUUAUUUAUUUUUUGGAUAAUAUGAGAUUGUAAAUUGAAGUCAUUAAUAUAAUAUAUAUACAAGUAUAUUGUUGUUAAUUUGGCUUCA